AACAUGAAGUUGUCAUUGUGGAGGACCU
rnacentral:piRNA from 1 species